GGGGGAUAUUGCACAAUGGGCGAAAGCCUGAUGCAGCAAUGCCGCGUGAGGGAAGACGGUCUUCGGAUUGUAAACCUCUGUCCUUGGUGAAGAUAAUGACGGUAGCCAAGGAGAAAGCUCCGGCUAACUACGUGCCAGCAGCCGCGGUAAUACGUAGGGAGCAAGCGUUGUCCGGAUUUACUGGGUGUAAAGGGUGCGUAGGCGGCUUUUUAAGUCGGGCGUGAAAGCUGUGGGCUUAACCCACAAAUUGCGUUCGAAACUGGAAGGCUUGAGUGAAGUAGAGGUAGGCGGAAUUCCCGGUGUAGCGGUGAAAUGCGUAGAGAUCGGGAGGAACACCAGUGGCGAAGGCGGCCUACUGGGCUUUAACUGACGCUGAGGCACGAAAGCAUGGGUAGCAAAC
rnacentral:rRNA from 1 species